GAUGAACGCUGGCGGCGUGCCUAAUACAUGCAAGUCGAGCGAACGGACGAGAAGCUUGCUUCUCUGAUGUUAGCGGCGGACGGGUGAGUAACACGUGGAUAACCUACCUAUAAGACUGGGAUAACUUCGGGAAACCGGAGCUAAUACCGGAUAAUAUUUUGAACCGCAUGGUUCAAAAGUGAAAGACGGUCUUGCUGUCACUUAUAGAUGGAUCCGCGCUGCAUUAGCUAGUUGGUAAGGUAACGGCUUACCAAGGCAACGAUGCAUAGCCGACCUGAGAGGGUGAUCGGCCACACUGGAACUGAGACACGGUCCAGACUCCUACGGGAGGCAGCAGUAGGGAAUCUUCCGCAAUGGGCGAAAGCCUGACGGAGCAACGCCGCGUGAGUGAUGAAGGUCUUCGGAUCGUAAAACUCUGUUAUUAGGGAAGAACAUAUGUGUAAGUAACUGUGCACAUCUUGACGGUACCUAAUCAGAAAGCCACGGCUAACUACGUGCCAGCAGCCGCGGGUAUACGUAGGUGGCAAGCGUUAUCCGGAAAUAUUUGGGCGUAAAGCGCGCGUAGCGGUUUUUUAGUCUGAUGUGAAAGCCCACGGCUCAAUCGUGGAGGGUCAUUGGAAACUGGAAAACUUGAGUGCAGAAGAGGAAAGUGGAAUUCCAUGUGUAGCGGUGAAAUGCGCAGAGAUAUGGAGGAACACCAGUGGCGAAGGCGACUUUCUGGUCUGUAACUGACGCUGAUGUGCGAAAGCGUGGGGAUCAAACAGGAUUAGAUACCCUGGUAGUCCACGCCGUAAACGAUGAGUGCUAAGUGUUAGGGGGUUUCCGCCCCUUAGUGCUGCAGCUAACGCAUUAAGCACUCCGCCUGGGGAGUACGACCGCAAGGUCGAAACUCAAAGGAAUUGACGGGGACCCGCACAAGCGGUGGAGCAUGUGGUUUAAUUCGAAGCAACGCGAAGAACCUUACCAAAUCUUGACAUCCUUUGACAACUCUAGAGAUAGAGCCUUCCCCUUCGGGGGACAAAGUGACAGGUGGUGCAUGGUUGUCGUCAGCUCGUGUCGUGAGAUGUUGGGUUAAGUCCCGCAACGAGCGCAACCCUUAAGCUUAGUUGCCAUCAUUAAGUUGGGCACUCUAAGUUGACUGCCGGUGACAAACCGGAGGAAGGUGGGGAUGACGUCAAAUCAUCAUGCCCCUUAUGAUUUGGGCUACACACGUGCUACAAUGGACAAUACAAAGGGCAGCGAAACCGCGAGGUCAAGCAAAUCCCAUAAAGUUGUUCUCAGUUCGGAUUGUAGUCUGCAACUCGACUACAUGAAGCUGGAAUCGCUAGUAAUCGUAGAUCAGCAUGCUACGGUGAAUACGUUCCCGGGUCU
rnacentral:rRNA from 1 species